UGGGGAAUAUUGCACAAUGGGCGAAAGCCUGAUGCAGCAACGCCGCGUGAGUGAUGAAGGCCUUCGGGUUGUAAAGCUCUGUCUUUUGGGACGAUAAUAACGGUACCAAAGGAGGAAGCCACGGCUAACUACGUGCCAGCAGCCGCGGUAAUACGUAGGUGGCGAGCGUUGUCCGGAUUUACUGGGCGUAAAGGAUGCGUAGGCGGAUAUUUAAGUGAGAUGUGAAAUACCCGAGCUUAACUUGGGUGCUGCAUUUCAAACUGGAUAUCUAGAGUGCGGGAGAGGAGAAUGGAAUUCCUAGUGUAGCGGUGAAAUGCGUAGAGAUUAGGAAGAACACCAGUGGCGAAGGCGAUUCUCUGGACCGUAACUGACGCUGAGGCAUGAAAGCGUGGGUAGCAAACA
rnacentral:rRNA from 1 species